rnacentral:guide_RNA from 1 species
AAACAAUACUCACAUUUGCGGUGUUUGAUAUGAGUGAAUA